rnacentral:tRNA from 3 species
GCGCCCGUAGCUCAAUUGGAUAGAGCAACGGUCUUCGGAACCGUAGGUUAUAGGUUCGACUCCUAUCGGGCGCA